GUGUGGUGUGGAAGUGUUUGUUUUUUGCAAUAGAUUUUUGUUGCAGUUUAGGUUUGUAUUUUCUUUGUUUUGUAGUGCUUAUUAUGAAGGUUCGUAGGUUUAUGUCUGUAGGCCAGGCAGGUCAUUAAACUUAACAAAGAAUAAGUAAGUCGGGAGAGGGGAAUAGAAAUCUCCACAUACAUAUUCUUAAAAGCUGUAACACUCACCACAAAGAUCUGCUGAGUGAAGUCUGUGAGACGAACGCACCAAGUCUGGACGCUCUGUCAGGCUACAUUUUACGUUUUUGGGAGUGAGCAGGUGUUAUUCUGUUCCCCGGGUUGGUUUUGAAGUCAUGGCUCUCAAGUAAUUUUUGUGCUUCUCAAAAGUGCUGGAAUUGCAAAGAUCAACAUCAAAAGCUACAAACUGGAAACAGAGGAAGAUACUAGCCCCGUGUUUCUGAUUCAGUAUCACUGAAAUACUUUGGAACCAUAUAAAGGGCAAAGUACAUUCCACAUGUUGAAGGACAGUGCCUGGCCCUGUGGGGUGUCAUCCCCAAGCUGUAGGCAUAGUGGCAACCCAGGGGUUCAUCUCAACUCCCAUCAGAGUUCAAACAUUGAAUUAGUUGUGCAAUGGAAGGAGUAUUACCAGGACCCAGAUGCAGCCCAAGGAAAAAAGAAAACAAAAGGAGACACACACAGACACCAGAGCAUGAUGCAAGUGUGGCUUAAUCGGUGCUUGCACAUUGGGCUUGUUCUUUCCAAACCUGUUGCCCCGAUUCUGCAAGGCUAUCCUGCUGUAGAAGGAGGCCCUGGAGGACAAGACACCAUGUGGGGAAAACAGCCAUGGGGAGCAGAACCGAGGUAUCCCAGCUUAGCUCCCAACUGACAGCAGCCACAUGAGUGAGCAGAAAAACAACUUCCAAGGGUGAUUUAGCUACUGCUGCUGUGGAAUGUCAAAACUUUCAGCAAGGGAGCCCGAUGCAGAUCUGUUGAUAUGACACCAUUCCACAAGAAGACCAACUGAUGGCUUUGUGGCAAGUUGACUACACUGGGCUGUUUCUAUUCUGGGAAGACAGAGAUUUGUUCUAAGAGGAAUAGGCAUGUGUUGCAGGCAUAGGUUGACCUUUCCUGCCAUGGAGCCUCCUCUGGUACCACUAUUUGAAGGUUGAAGGAAUGUUGAUUCACCAGGAUUGAGUCAGACCAGCCAAGCCUAUGACCAUGAUGUCAACUGACUGUAUCACCUGUCACAUCAUCCAGAAGCUACAGACUUAUAAGGCAUUGGAAUAACUUGUAGAUGGCCCCGUUAAAGUACCAGCUUAGAGGCAACACUCCAUGAGAAUGAGACAUCAUCUCCAGGAUGGCACAUACACAUUGAAUCACACAGCAUUGAUAAGGAGAUGGCUCCCCAGUAGGAAGAAUAUAUUGGUCAUGAACCAAGGGAUGAAGCAGAAGUGUCUUGCUUCCUGUCCCUGCAGCCUCUCUUUCUGCAGUGCUAGAAAUCCUGGUCAAAAGGGGGCAUAAUUUUAUCAGGGGACACAGCAAAAGUCUCCACUACAUUGCAGCUAUGCCUGCUGCCUGGGGAUUUUGGGCUUCUUAUAAUUGGGACCAGCAAUAAAAGAGAAGAGUCACAGUCUUGGCAGGGCUAAUUGACCCUGAUCAGCAGGAGAAGAAAGGCUGUGGUUCCACUAUGAGGGUAGGGAAGACGUGUGGCACCACUGAUCCACUUUUGCAACCCAUGGUACUCCCGUGGCCAGUUGUGAUGACAGACAAGUGCAGGAACACUUUUGGGAAGGGCAUGGUGGCCAGAGUUCAGACCCCAUGGGAAUGAGGACCAGGGUCACACCACUGGAUAAGCCAGGAGGAAGAGAGGCCCACUGGAAGGCUGGAGGAGCUGCUCCCCAGAUGUAGAUGAAGUAGAUUUGAGCAGCACAGUGGUGGACCUAGUAGAGGCGGACAUCAAGAUCCUCUUCAAGGAAAGAUUAUCAAUAUAGUUUUCCCUGACCCAGAUUCUUCCCUUGACAUCACACCAGGAAAGUCUGACAACUUAACUUUAUUGGAUAUAGGCAACCGUUGAAUCCAAGUUUUGCCCACUGAAUCCAUCAAAUUGUUACAGCCAAUUCUAGAUGCCUGAGUGGACACAUGAAAUCCAGAUUCCCCAGUAAGCGCAUCCCCAUUAAUAAACUGACCAAAUGCAAUGUUAAUCUGUUCUAUAACCUUUAGAAUCCAUCCCAACAUAUAUUUUUUAGGUUCCUGCCAAGAUAUGUUAGCAAAAGCUUGCAAUUUUUUGAAAAAUGAAUUAUCUCUUCCUGGGACAUGUGUUGUACUUUUCUCUCUGAAAUAGGCUGAGCUCUGACUCCAUUAAAAGUCUGAAAGCAAUGAAGAGUGAAGGAGCGGAUAUUGGGGAGAAUAGGCAUCCUCUUGCAAGAUAACUGCCUCAAAGUCAUUAUAAGGUUUUCAAGCAAGAGAAAGCUAAUUUCCUUACACAUAUGAAGAAGCGUUG
rnacentral:lncRNA from 1 species